UAAUACGUAGGGGGCGAGCGUUGUCCGGAAUUAUUGGGCGUAAAGCGCGCGCAGGCGGUUUCUUAAGUCUGGUGUUUAAGUGCGGGGCUCAACCCCGUGUCGCAUUGGAAACUGGGGAACUGGAGUGCAGAAGAGGAGAGCGGAAUUCCACGUGUAGCGGUGAAAUGCGUAGAGAUGUGGAGGAACACCAGUGGCGAAGGCGGCUCUCUGGUCUGUAACUGACGCUGAGGCGCGAAAGCGUGGGGAGCAAACAGGAUUAGAUACCCUGGUAGUCCACGCCGUAAACGAUGAGUGCUAGGUGUCGGGGGGGUCCACCCCUCGGUGCCGAAGUCAACACAUUAAGCACUCCGCCUGGGAAGUACGGUCGCAAGACUGAA
rnacentral:rRNA from 1 species